UACGGAGGGGGUUAGCGUUGUUCGGAAUUACUGGGCGUAAAGCGCGCGUAGGCGGACCAGAAAGUUGGGGGUGAAACCCCGGGGCUCAACCCCGGAACGGCCUCCAAAACUCCUGGUCUUGAGUUCGAGAGAGGUGAGUGGAAUUCCGAGUGUAGAGGUGAAAUUCGUAGAUAUUCGGAGGAACACCAGUGGCGAAGGCGGCUCACUGGCUCGAUACUGACGCUGAGGUGCGAAAGUGUGGGGAGCAAACAGG
rnacentral:rRNA from 1 species